AUACGUAGGGUGCGAGCGUUAAUCGGAAUUACUGGGCGUAAAGCGUGCGCAGGCGGUUAUGUAAGACAGAUGUGAAAUCCCCGGGCUCAACCUGGGAACUGCAUUUGUGACUGCAUGACUGGAGUGCGGCAGAGGGGGAUGGAAUUCCGCGUGUAGCAGUGAAAUGCGUAGAUAUGCGGAGGAACACCGAUGGCGAAGGCAAUCCCCUGGGCCUGCACUGACGCUCAUGCACGAAAGUGUGGGGAGCAAACAGGAUUAGAUACCCUAGUAGUCC
rnacentral:rRNA from 1 species